rnacentral:rRNA from 1 species
CAGCAGCCACGGUAAUACAGAGGGUGCGAGCGUUAAUCGGAUUUACUGGGCGUAAAGCGUGCGUAGGCGGCUUUUUAAGUCGGAUGUGAAAUCCCUGAGCUUAACUUAGGAAUUGCAUUCGAUACUGGGAAGCUAGAGUAUGGGAGAGGAUGGUAGAAUUCCAGGUGUAGCGGUGAAAUGCGUAGAGAUCUGGAGGAAUACCGAUGGCGAAGGCAGCCAUCUGGCCUAAUACUGACGCUGAGGUACGAAAGCAUGGGGAGCAAACAGGAUUAGAUACCCCAGUAGUCCCUGUCUCUUAUAA